AUGGUAUCUAUGUAUGUUAUAGGUUCUUGUGAGGAUGAAAUGAAAAGCAUACUUAAUUUCUACUUGGAUAACAGAGAAAAAAAGAAAGCAAGGAAACUAGUGAGAAAAUGAAUGCUAAGAACAAGGAAUCAUUACUUGAGGAAAGUGUCUAUGGAACAUCUGUCAUUGUACCAGAACUGGAAGGAGCUCUUUAUUUGAAAGAAGAUGGAAAGAAAUCCUGGAAAAGGCGCUAUUUUCUUUUACGGGCUUCUGGAAUUUAUUAUGUACCCAAAGGAAAGACUAAGACAUCUCGAGAUCUGGCGUGUUUUAUACAGUUUGAAAAUGUCAACAUUUACUACGGGACUCAGCAUAAAAUGAAAUAUAAAGCACCCACUGGCUACUGCUUUGUUUUAAAGCACCCCCAAAUUCAGAAGGAGUCCCAGUAUAUCAAGUAUCUCUGCUCUGAUGAUGCAAGAACCCUUAACCAGUGGGUCAUGGGAAUACGGAUAGCCAAGUAUGGGAAGACUCUCUAUGAUAACUACCAGCGGGCCAUGGCAAAGGCUGGACUUGCCUCUCGGUGGACAAACGUGGGGACAGUCAGUGCAGCUGCACCGGCUCAGCCAGCUCAGCCAUCUACAGGACCUAAAACAGGCACCUCCCAGCCCAAUGGACAGAUGCCCCAGGCUGCACAUUCUGUCAGUGCUGUUCUCCAAGAGGCCCAGACACGUGCUGAAACAUGGAAGGAUAAGAAACCAGCCCUCGGGAACCACCACCAGCCCGGAAUGCCUCGGGCCCCACAGGCCCCCAAGUCCAGCCUUCCUCUCCCCCUGCAGUGCGGCGGUCCUCCGGAUACCAGCAGCAGCCCCGCCACGACCCCCAAGGCCAAGGGUACUGGAGGCAGGGGCUUCCUCGCCCCGCCCGUCGACUUCCUUCCACCGCCGCCACCCAUGGACCACCCCGAGCUCCCACCGCCACCCCCCGGACUUCAUGGAGCCGCCCCCGGACUUCGUGCCCCCGCUCCCGCCGACCUGUGCUGGAACCGAAGGCUCAGAGCUGCCCCCGCCGCCGCCGCCGCCGCCGCUGCCGCAGCCGCCGCACGCGCUCGACCCCAAUUCCGCCAGGCUGCCCUCCGCGGUCGCCAAAAGGCCUCCUAUGCCCCCCAAGAGGCACGAGAACCCAGCGCCCCCCGGCGGGGCAGGUGGCGGGGAGCAAGAUUUCAUGUCAGACCUCAUGAAAGCGUUGCAAAAGAACAGAGGCAACGUGUCCUAGGGACGGGCACAGUGAGUGUGCCAGAGGGAGACGCAUCGCUGACUCCCAGUGCAGGUUUUGCUAGGAGAUGUCCCUCACAUCUUGUUCAUUUCAGAUAAAAUGUGAUGGGAAACUUCUCCCUGUCGUGGUCAAGUACAGCCUUAACCAUUAACCCAAUCGAAUUCAGAGUAUCUGCCCAAAUGUACAUAUCGCUCCUAUGUAUUUUCACCUAAAUGGAAUGUAUCUUCCCUUCCAAGUGCCUAAAGUGCUGUUUUAGGUUCAUUUAUUUUAUUAUGUGCAGAAGUAUGAAAUGAAUAAAAGUUAAACAUUUUUCC